CCAGACUCCUACGGGAGGCAGCAGUGGGGAAUAUUGCACAAUGGGGGGAACCCUGAUGCAGCGACGCCGCGUGAGUGAAGAAGUAUUUCGGUAUGUAAAGCUCUGUCAGCAGGGAAGAAGAAAGACGGUACCUGACCAAGAAGCCCCGGCUAACUACGUGCCAGCAGCCGCGGUAAUACGUAGGGGGCAAGCGUUAUCCGGAUUUACUGGGUGUAAAGGGAGCGUAGACGGCAGGGCAAGUCUGGAGUGAAAGGCAGGGGCCCAACCCCUGGACUGCUCUGGAAACUGCCGGGCUGGAGUGUCGGAGGGGCAGGCGGAAUUCCUAGUGUAGCGGUGAAAUGCGUAGAUAUUAGGAGGAACACCGGUGGCGAAGGCGGCCUGCUGGACGACGACUGACGCUGAGGCUCGAAAGCGUGGGGAGCAAACAGGAUUAGAUACCCCCGUACC
rnacentral:rRNA from 1 species